rnacentral:tRNA from 1 species
CCUUUGGUAGCUCAGCUGAUAGAGCGGAGGACUGUAGAUCCUUGGGUCGCUGGUUUGAUUCUGGCUCAAAGGA